UUACGGCCACAUCAGUUGGAAAUACUGGUACCCGUACGAUCAACGAAGUUAAACAAUAUCGAGUCUGGUCAGUACCUCGAUGGUUGACCGCUUCGAAAUGCCUUGUGUG
rnacentral:rRNA from 1 species